UCCUUGAUGGUCCAGUGGUUAGGACUUUGCACUUCCACUACAGGGGUCACAGGUUCAAUCACUGGUCAGGGAA
rnacentral:tRNA from 1 species